UACGUAGGGUGCAAGCGUUGUCCGGAAUUAUUGGGCGUAAAGAGCUCGUAGGCGGUUCGUCGCGUCGGCUGUGAAAUCCCGAGGCUCAACCUCGGGUCUGCAGUCGAUACGGGCAGGCUAGAGUUCGGUAGGGGAGACUGGAAUUCCUGGUGUAGCGGUGAAAUGCGCAGAUAUCAGGAGGAACACCGGUGGCGAAGGCGGGUCUCUGGGCCGAUACUGACGCUGAGGAGCGAAAGCGUGGGGAGCGAACAGG
rnacentral:rRNA from 1 species